rnacentral:rRNA from 1 species
UACGAAGGGUGCAAGCGUUACUCGGAAUUACUGGGCGUAAAGGGUGCGUAGGUGGUUCGUUAAGUCUGAUGUGAAAGCCCUGGGCUCAAACCUGGGAAUUGCAUUGGAUACUGGCGGGCUAGAGUGCGGUAGAGGGUAGUGGAAUUCCCGGUGUAGCAGUGAAAUGCCUAGAUAUCGGGAGGAACACCGGUGGCGAAGGCGGCUUUCUGGCCAGUUACUGACGCUCAUGCGCGAAAGCUGGGGUAGCGAACCGGAUUAGAUACCCUGGUAGUCCCU